rnacentral:rRNA from 1 species
AUUGAACGCUGGCGGCAUGCUUUACACAUGCAAGUCGAACGGUAACAGGUUAAGCUGACGAGUGGCGAACGGGUGAGUAAUGCAUCGGAACGUGCCCGAUCGUGGGGGAUAACACUUCGAAAGAAGUGCUAAUACCGCAUACGAUCUGAGGAUGAAAGCGGGGGACCGUAAGGCCUCGCGCGAUCGGAGCGGCCGAUGGCCGAUUAGGUAGUUGGUGGGGUAAAGGCUCACCAAGCCGACGACCCGUAGCUGGUCUGAGAGGACGACCAGCCAGACUGGGACUGAGCCACGGCCCGGACUCCUACGGGAGGCAGCAGUGGGGAAUUUUGGACAAUGGGCGCAAGCCUGAUCCAGCAAUGCCGCGUGCAGGAAGAAGGCCUUCGGGUUGUAAACUGCUUUUGUACGGGGCGAAAAGGCUCCCUCUAAUACAGGGGGCUCAUGACGGUACCGUAAGAAUAAGCACCGGCUAACUACGUGCCAGCAGCCGCCGUAA